GACGAACGCUGGCGGCGUACCUAAUACAUGCAAGUAGAACGCUGAAGGAGGAGCUUGCUCUUCUGGAUGAGUUGCGAACGGGUGAGUAACGCGUAGGUAACCUGCCUGGUAGCGGGGGAUAACUAUUGGAAACGAUAGCUAAUACCGCAUAAGAGUAGAUGUUGCAUGACAUUUACUUAAAAGGUGCAAUUGCAUCACUACCAGAUGGACCUGCGUUGUAUUAGCUAGUUGGUGGGGUAACGGCUUACCAAGGCGACGAUACAUAGCCGACCUGAGAGGGUGAUCGGCCACACUGGGACUGAGACACGGCCCAGACUCCUACGGGAGGCAGCAGUAGGGAAUCUUCGGCAAUGGACGGAAGUCUGACCGAGCAACGCCGCGUGAGUGAAGAAGGUUUUCGGAUCGUAAAGCUCUGUUGUAAGAGAAGAACGAGUGUGAGAGUGGAAAGUUCACACUGUGACGGUAUCUUACCAGAAAGGGACGGCUAACUACGUG
rnacentral:rRNA from 1 species